rnacentral:rRNA from 1 species
CCUGAUAAACCCAAAAGAUCGAAAGGGGAGAUUCAUCGUCAGCACAUUUUGUAUAUAUACAAGUUGUGAUGUGGGUUACUUUCGAGUAUUGCUUACACAUGCUUGUAUGUUUAGUGGCAAGGUGUUGUCGACGUGCACUUCUCCUCUAGUAGAACGUCGCGACUCGUUGGGUGUCGGUCUACGACCCAAGUUGGAGACUUUGGUGUUUUUUAAUAGACAUUAGAGACCCUUGGUGUUUUCUGACCGGCUGCCCGGCGGUAUUCGUAUGGUAUUUAGCCGCAUAAUAAUCAUUAUAUGCGUCCAUAUCCGUCGCAAGCGAGGUCAAUUAUCGGUAGUUUGGACUUUGUGCCAUCACUGUAUUUGACCAGCUGUUGGUUGUACGGUAUUCUAGGACUGGCUAAAAAAUUUUAUUACCGGUCGGCGAUGCUACUGCUUUGGGUACUUUCAGGACCCGUCUUGAAACACGGACCAAGGAGUCUAACAUGUGCGCAAGUCAUUGGGAUUUUUAAAAAAAUUAAACCUAAAGGCGUAAUGAAAGUAAAGGUCGACCUUGUGUCGAUUAAGGGAGGAUAAGCUAUAUUAAGAUAUUAGUUCGCACUCCCAGGGCGUCUCAUUCUCAUUGCGAGAAGAGGCGCACCUAG